rnacentral:rRNA from 1 species
UACGAAGGGGACUAGCGUUGUUCGGAUUUACUGGGCGUAAAGCGCGCGUAGGCGGCUUUGCAAGUCGGGUGUGAAAUCCCCAGGCUUAACCUGGGAACUGCAUUCGAGACUGCAUUGCUAGAGUAUGGGAGAGAGAAGUGGAAUUUCCGGUGUAGCGGUGAAAUGCGUAGAUAUCGGAAGGAACAUCAGUGGCGAAAGCGACUUCCUGGACCAAUACUGACGCUCAUGUGCGAAAGCGUGGGGAGCAAACACGG